rnacentral:lncRNA from 1 species
UUGGUUUGUUGUUUUAUUUUAAUGGUGUUGUUGCUUACACUAGUUUGAUUUAUGAAUCAAAUUGGUCAUAUAUUGUAUAUAAGUAUCAGACACAUGUAAGAUGAGAAGGUGAAUUUGAAUGGUAACCUAGAUCUCAUCAUAAUGAUUUUGUGGAGAUAUUUAACAAAAAUAUAUAUUAUUUUUAAUUUACACACUUUUAAUAUUUUCAUAGACAAAAGAGUGAACAUGAG